CAGCCGCCACGGGAAUACGUAGGGUGCGAGCGUUAAUCGGAAUUACUGGGCGUAAAGCGUGCGCAGGCGGUUGUGUAAGACAGGUGUGAAAUCCCCGGGCUUAACCUGGGAACUGCGCUUGUGACUGCACAGCUAGAGUAUGGCAGAGGGGGGUGGAAUUCCACGUGUAGCAGUGAAAUGCGUAGAGAUGUGGAGGGACACCGAUGGCGAAGGCAGCCCCCUGGGCCAAUACUGACGCUUAUGCACGAAAGCGUGGGGAGCAAACAGGAUUAGAUACCCGCGUAGUCCCUGUCUCUUAUAC
rnacentral:rRNA from 1 species